UUUUUCUUUUGGUCAUAUGCAUGUGGAUUUACUUUUGAAAGUUACCUUUACUCCACUGUUUUGGUGUAAUUGUCAAUCAGGGUACACUGACCUCCUCUAGAGAUAAGUGUCAUUCACUUUAGGCCAUCUGAACAUCUCAACUUUGAAUCUUGAGUUAAUGGACAGAAGCAUAAAAAUCACAACCUUGUUACUUGUCAUCCACAGCAUGUUGAUAAAACUAUUACUCACUCCUGCCAUCCAGCACCCCUGAGCUGUACCUGUUCCCACUCUGCCAGACGUGGUUCCCUUCAGUCCUUUUAAUAAUUAUGGUACCAUCUCACACCCUUCUGAUAAAUUCCCUUCUAGUUAAAUUACUCAGGCUUUGUCUAUAUUGUUUGCAACUAAAGAAAACCAAUUUAUGCAUGUGCAUCAAGUUAGUGAGAUGGUAGAUGAUUUUAAGAGUAAUUAGCUCCAUAAUAUGCCUCUGCUUCCCUAGUAGUACAAACAUUAUUGUAUUAUUUAGAUUCAAGUUCUGAAAGAGCUGUUUAAGUGGAAGUUGAUACUUUGUGACACUGCAACAAGAGGUAAAAGAUGUAGUUACGAAGCAACCUCAAGCAACACCUGUAAUCUUCUGUAUAUGGAGAAAGUGAUGGAUUAAUGAGGCAGGUCUGGUGUUCCUAAAUCCUGAAGGAUUUAAAACUGGGAUUACAAACUGAAAUGUUGUUAGUGAAUGAGCACUGAUGCAAAUGAGUGAGUCAUCCAAUAUAUGCUUACUUCCGUGAAGAAAUAAUGCCCAUUUCUCUUCAGCUUUUCCUGUCUGUCUUUUCAGUUUCUACCUUGGAUAGAGACAUGUGCAGAGACAUAUUGCUGGACUCUAAGGAAAACACCAGUGACAGUUUAGUGAUGAAUGGCAACUGAAACUCACCCACUUUUCUAGGGAAACAAUGGGAUCAUAAAGACUCAAGAAACUGGAGAAUAUAUGCCCUUUACAUGAAGCAACAUUCCUGAUUUUUUUUUUUUUAAAGUGGUGAGAAUUAUUACUUUUCUUAAAUGUACAAUAAUCUGUUUUUAUAUUUUGGCAACUAAUCUAAUUUAAAAACUAAAACAAAAACAAAAACAAAAAAACAGUGCGUCAGGCCAGGAAAACAAGUAAGCAUUCUGUUCCCAAACAAUACUAGAAGCUGGGUUGUGAUAAUGAGUCUGGAUUGGAGGCAUGUAAAACAUUUACUGACCACAACACUUAAGCAAACAAAAUAUUUUUACAAAGUAAAAUCAUAAGCUAGAACAAGCCAAGCCAGUCAUGGAAUAAAUCUCUGGGGGUAGCCUGGUGGAGCCUCCAGGGCCCAGCAAGUGAUGAACAGUAUGCAGAGAGAGGAACACUCUUCUAGUGCUGGCAGCUCUGGAGGGCAUUUUGAUGCACUUUGCUAGGCCAAAUAAGUGAAUCAUGUCUGCGUCAGGAAGUGGUUUGAUUACCUCAUUAUGUAUACAUUACAAAUAAUUUUUUUUUCUUUAUAGGGCCACACCUGCAGCAUAUGGAGGUUCGUUAACCACUGAGACACGACGGGAACUCCAGAAAUCAAAAAUUUUAAAGUAAAUAUUGAUAUUCCAAAUUUAUGAACUUAUUCCUCCCAGGGCUUGGAGUGCUUGAAGCUAAAAGAAAAGAAUGCUGUAUCCAUGUCAAGUUGUAUUUAGACUACUGCAUUUUACAACAUGGGUUACCUGGAAAAAUGAACCAUUGUUUUGCCACUGAGCAUCUUCAAAGAAGAGAAUAAGAUUGACAUCACUGUUCACAUCCAUUAGUCAAACUACAGUUGCUUUGGACAGGUAGUUUCCAGAAUGCAUCAGUCUCAUUUACACCCAACAGAAGGAACAUACAGUGUGCCUUUUUUUUUUUUUUUUUUUUUUUUGCUGUGACAUGAGGAUCCCAGAUACUAAGGCAGAAAGUGGUUUUUGACACAAAAUGCUUUUAGGAAAAAGACUGGAAGUAGGAGGUGAAAUGAAGAGUAAAUUUUCUGUAUGCUAAUGAUUAUAGAGAAAAAAGGAACAAUCCAAUUGUACUUAGGGGCUAGACCAAAAUAAUUGAGCAAACAAAAUAAUACAGCAGGAAAUCAACGGAUCUGAUAAACAGUGAAACAGUGAUUUUCCCCAAAGAAAUGCCACAUAGCUCUAAGUGUGUCUAAGAAUGUAGAAGAUUUUUCUAAUUCUUGGAAGUUUUUGUUCUAAUAAAUGCCACUAUACUAUUUACCAAUUUUAAGUUGUUCAUUUCUUGUACCCCAGGCAUUCUGC
rnacentral:lncRNA from 1 species